rnacentral:rRNA from 1 species
AUUGAACGCUGGCGGCAGGCCUAACACAUGCAAGUCGAGCGGAUGAAGGGAGCUUGCUCCUGGAUUCAGCGGCGGACGGGUGAGUAAUGCCUAGGAAUCUGCCUGGUAGUGGGGGAUAACGUCCGGAAACGGGCGCUAAUACCGCAUACGUCCUGAGGGAGAAAGUGGGGGAUCUUCGGACCUCACGCUAUCAGAUGAGCCUAGGUCGGAUUAGCUAGUUGGUGGGGUAAAGGCCUACCAAGGCGACGAUCCGUAACUGGUCUGAGAGGAUGAUCAGUCACACACGAAAUGAGACACGGUGUCGAGACCUACGGGAGGCAGAAGAGUGGAAUAUAGGGGACUGGGCGAAAACCUGUGAUAGACCUGCGGCGCGUGUGUAGAGAAUCUUCGGAUUGUGUAAAACACUAAGUGGGGAGAGGAAGCACUAAGUUUAUACACUGCUCUUUUGACGUUACAAAAAGAAAAUAAGCACGCUCAAAUCGUG